rnacentral:siRNA from 1 species
UCUCCGAUUAUGGGUAAUGUCACC